ACACAGCCGCUGCCGCGCCUUCUCGGGCCCAGGACAGAUCCUCAGGGGAGCUGGAAAUUGUUCACACUUUCCGCUGCUGAUCUACCUCACAGGUGCAAUGGGAAAGACACUUUCAGCAUGGCAGGCACAGAGAAUCAGGUAUGGAAGCAUCCUUGUCGAUGAGGACAAAGCAGGGACUUUUGAUCCCUGAAAACUGCCGAACUGCGUGCGUUUUGAAGUAUGAAAGACCGUGCUGCCUCGCUUAAUCAGCGUCCGGGCCGGUUCUCCGCGGCCACGUAAUAAAUCAAUUAAACCGAA